rnacentral:misc_RNA from 1 species
AAAUACAACACCAAAGCUGAAAAAAAUAGUACCUAUAGCAUCUUGUAUCUGCACCUAAUUGCAGGACAAGGAAUCUGUAACAAGAUCUAACAAGCUCUCAUCUUUCAAAAUACUAUCUGGUGAAUGACUCAACUGUCCAAGUAUUAUUUUUAGGACAAUAAUGCAAAGUGCAACCCCUUAUUAUCUAACCCCUGCAGAAUUCCAAGGCAAGUGUUCAAGAUCAUCCAUCCGAAUGCCAAUUCAGAUUGAGAAGGCUAUGGCAAUGAAAGUUGAGAUCAUUCACAAAGAAACCAUCAAACCUUCUUCUCCAACCCCACCUGACCUCAAAACCGUCAAGCUUUCUCUUCUGGAUCAGUUCACUCCUGCUUCUUAUAUACCACUAAUUCUCUUUUACCCUGCAUGUGCUGAAAGAUCACAAAUGCUAAAGACAUCGUUAUCUGAAACCUUAACUCUCUGGU